rnacentral:rRNA from 1 species
UACGUAGGGUGCAAGCGUUAAUCGUAAUUACUGGGCGUAAAGCGUGCGCAGGCGGUUUUGUAAGUCUGUCGUGAAAGCCCCGGGCUCAACCUGGGAAUUGCGAUGGAGACUGCAAGGCUUGAAUCUGGCAGAGGGGGGUAGAAUUCCACGUGUAGCAGUGAAAUGCGUAGAUAUCUGGAGGAAUACCGGUGGCGAAGGCGGCAUCCUGGACCGGCAUUGACGCUGAUGAGCGAAAGCUAGGGGAGCAAACGGG